rnacentral:rRNA from 1 species
GGGGAAUUUUCCGCAAUGGGCGAAAGCCUGACGGAGCAAUACCGCGUGAGGGAGGAAUGCCUUUGGGUUGUAAACCUCUUUUUUCAGGGAAGAAGAUCUGACGGUACCUGAGGAAUAAGUAUCGGCUAACUCCGUGCCAGCAGCCGCGGUAAUACGGAGGAUGCAAGCGUUAUCCGGAAUCAUUGGGCGUAAAGCGUCCGCAGGUGGUUUCCAAAGUCUGCUGUUAAAGACUGGAGCUCAACUCCGGAACGGCGGUGGAAACUUGGAAACUAGAGUUCGGUAGGGGUAGCAGGAAUUCCCAGUGUAGCGGUGAAAUGCGUAGAUAUUGGGAAGAACAUCGGUGGCGAAGGCGUGCUACUGGACCGUAACUGACACUCAGGGACGAAAGCUAGGGGAGCGAAAGGGAUUAGAUACCCCUGUAGUCCUAGCUGUAAACGAUGGAAACUAGGUGUGGCUUG